rnacentral:rRNA from 1 species
UACGUAGGUGGCAAGCGUUGUCCGGAAUUAUUGGGCGUAAAGCGCGCGCAGGUGGUUCCUUAAGUCUGAUGUGAAAGCCCACGGCUCAACCGUGGAGGGUCAUUGGAAACUGGGGAACUUGAGUGCAGGAGAGAAGAGUGGAAUUCCACGUGUAGCGGUGAAAUGCGUAGAGAUGUGGAGGAACACCAGUGGCGAAGGCGCCUCUUUGGUCUGUAACUGACGCUGAGGCGCGAAAGCGUGGGGAGCAAACAGG